CCUACGGGAGGCAGCAGUGAGGAAUAUUGGUCAAUGGACGAGAGUCUGAACCAGCCAAGUAGCGUGAAGGAUGACUGCCCUAUGGGUUGUAAACUUCUUUUAUAUGGGAAUAAAACAGGGUAUGCAUACCCCCUUGUAUGUACCAUAUGAAUAAGGAUCGGCUAACUCCGUGCCAGCAGCCGCGGUAAUACGGAGGAUCCGAGCGUUAUCCGGAUUUAUUGGGUUUAAAGGGAGCGUAGGUGGAUUGUUAAGUCAGUUGUGAAAGUUUGCGGCUCAACCGUAAAAUUGCAGUUGAAACUGGCAGUCUUGAGUACAGUAGAGGUGGGCGGAAUUCGUGGUGUAGCGGUGAAAUGCUUAGAUAUCACGAAGAACUCCGAUUGCGAAGGCAGUUCACUGGACUGCAACUGACACUGAGGCUCGAAAGUGUGGGUAUCAAACAGGAUUAGAUACCCGUGUAGUC
rnacentral:rRNA from 1 species